GGUAAUCAGGAUGGCAGUGAGGCAGGCACUUGCUUGCAGAAGAACAGGCCUAGUUUUUUAAGAAGCCACAAAAGUGUCUUUGGAUGAUUAGGAUCUAAGGGGCCAACAGCUUUGCAAUAACAGCAUAAAUAUUGUGGGCUGGAUGGACAGGCACCAAAUGGGGACAUUCCAUCCUGCUGUGUGAUGAGAAAGCUGCCACUUUUGAGGCCUUCCAAAACAAAUCAACACUCCAUAUGCCAGAAGGAAAAGCCCAGGAAAGACCUAUUCCAACUGGAGAUGGUGAAUGUCAUUUCUUCAAGAAGCUGAGAUCCAGCUGGUACUGCCAGGAAUACGAAGGGAGAAUGAAACAAAACUGCUCCGCUUAGGGAACUUGGAAAGGAAAUUGAAAAGGCAAGGCACAGGCUGGAAGAAAAUAUUUGAAAAAGAUUUAUGUGAACUUCUUUCUGGAUUAUACAAAAUAUUUUUAGAUAUUCUUACAACUCUAAAAUAAGAUAACUCCUUAAAAAUCUAAAUUCUACCAAAGGAGAGAUAAAGAUGACGAAUACAUUCAAAGAUGCUGAAAAUCACUUAUUUAUUAUUAGGAAGUUACAAGCUAAAGCAUAAUGAGAUACCACUACAACCUACUAAACUGACUAAAAUUAAUCAGACUAACCAGGUGUUGGCAAGAAACAGGG
rnacentral:lncRNA from 1 species